CAGGAUAAGGGGAGCCACUGAUGCUCCCAGACGACUCAUGAAGGUGGUGUAGCCCAAACUAUUUUGUCUGGUGAGACAGAAGGUCAGAACUGCAACGCCCAGUGGAGCUGUGACAGUCAUCAUCAGUGUCCGCCAGUCAUUCACCAGGAAGGCAAACCCAGCCAGCAGCAUGUUCCCGGCAGACCAAGCCAGGCUGCCAAUCACACCAAUAAAUGACCUGUGACCUGUGUCAACCCACUCAAUGCCUGCACAAUUACAAGUCAGUGAUUGUACCUCUGUUGCCAGAGUGGAGGUGAAGGUGGAGUUGUCAUAAACCCAUCCACUCUGACACUGAACAGUUGGCAGGUCAGCGCUGAUGGAGCCGUUGGCUAAGAGCUGAAACUGAGGCUCUGCAAACAUCUCGCAGGAUUUUGGGACCCCAUCCUCUCGUACAGGAAUGCUGACGCUCUGCUUGUAGUUCCUGCUGAAGUCCACCAGAGGGCGCCAUUACACCAGACACCAGCAGCUGACAGCUCUGCUUGUAGUUCCUACUGAAGUCCACCAGAGGGCGACAUUACACCAGACACCAGCAGCUGACAGGUGAAGAUUCUUCAUCGAAAUUACACCACAAGAAAUCUCUGUCCCUACGAAACAGAAACAAGUUGCAGCAAAUUGAGCUCUCAGGGCCACCGUACUUUCUGUCUCUUCAGGGUCACAUUUGGCUGGAAUUCAUCACUAAAAACAAAG